UACGGGGGGAGCAAGCGUUGUUCGGAUUUACUGGGCGUAAAGGGCGCGUAGGCGGCUUUGUAAGUCGGGGGUGAAAGCCUGUGGCUCAACCACAGAAUUGCCUUCGAUACUGCGAGGCUUGAGACCGGAAGAGGUUAGUGGAACUGCGAGUGUAGAGGUGAAAUUCGUAGAUAUUCGCAAGAACACCAGUGGCGAAGGCGGCUGACUGGUCCGGUACUGACGCUGAGGCGCGAAAGCGUGGGGAGCAAACAGG
rnacentral:rRNA from 1 species